UGGUCCGUCACGUGGGUCCCGGAGAAUAAAGCAGGAGGAGGGAGGAAGUCCUCGAAAUGAGACGGCCAGGGACGGCCAGCAGCUGAUAGGCUGGGUUUUGAGCAGGGAGGAAGAGGAACGCCUUUGAUGCCCAGGGCAUGCUGCCCCCUGCAGGAUGCUGCAGCCUGCGGGGUGUACAAGAGAGAGAACAUCCUGGAGAGAGGGCACCGGGCGAGGUGGGCAGUCCGGCAGAGCCAGGAGACCAUGCCCAGGAGAGGCAGGGAUCUCUUAACACCUGGCACAGUGGCUUUGCGCAUAGGAGGCGCUCAAUAAAUACGUCUCGAAUGAAUGGGUCGAUCACAUGGUGAGAUUCCUAACUGGAACAGAAAGCCAGGAGCUGACGAUAAACCCCAAAUCAAAAGCAGAGACUGCAGACAUGCAGGAAGGAGCUUGUUCAGCUACGCCUGUGCGGUUCUGGAAACCCACGAAAUUAUUUUCACACUUUUUCCAAGGAGGAAGUCCUAUGGCUUUCACCAGAACUGUGUCUACUUUGCCACCCCCAAGCCCAGCCGAUGUGGUGAAAACUUGCCGUCAUGUGCCUGCUUGUUGCCGUACCAAGGUUAGAGCACCUACAGACUGGUGAUGUCUCUAAAUACAAGAGACGGCCUAGAAUGCAUGCUUUUAAGAGGUAAGUGCAUCCUAUUGAGAGGCUUAAAAUAGCAAAGCUCUUUCCACCGGGAAUUUGUGACUCCUACGUCUGGGCCCCAGAUCCCACCUGCCGUCUUAGCCAGAAGUUUUCUUAGCUAAAAGUUUUCUCGCAAUGGGAUACAGCAAAUGGGACCUCAUGAACCGGCUGACACAUGGCCAGGUCUGUCUUUCAGACUCAGCAGAGUUUCCAUUGAUUCUUGAGCGUUCUUGUACUUUCUGGUCAAUGUCAAUAGAUUGGGGACACUUUUAAAGAAACAUAUAAAUUACUACUCCAGGUUUUUGCUUAAUUAUUUAUAAUGGUAGGCAUUUGCCUAAUGGAAAUUUUUAUUCUGUGCUGAAUGUCGGGAUCCAUGGGGCUCACACGUCCCCUUUGAGUAAAAGGUUCGCUCAUGGAUUAUCGCACUCAUAGAUCCGUGGAAAUGCAGAGUCAGAGCAGAGGCAGAGUGUAGACAGAGAGAGAGGUUACAGAAGGUCUGAGCUGUUCUGGAAACAAAUGCAUUGGAAAUGCUGGGGCCCAAAGUUGAAGGGGUCCCACGUAGUGAGGUGGAACCUCCAGGCACGUGGAUACAAACAUGGGUGUGCAGUAAGUGGGGGUGUAGACAAGAAAGCUCACCAGAAACAGGCUUUUACUCUCUCUAAAGAGAAUUAAAACUUUGAAAGACCAGUCAUUCCAGUGGAAAAGGCUGUUCCAUUACCUUCCAUCCCUGCAGCGCCCUCUGCU
rnacentral:lncRNA from 1 species